AAUUAUUCCCUCCACUUUGCUAAUUCUUGGUUCCCACUCACUCACUUGGUGUCCAAAUUAAAACCUAUUUUCGUAAGGUUCCCUCUUCUCGACUCCAUCACCACCUGCGAAACCCACUCCGUCUCGACUCCAUCACCACCUGCGAAACCUGCUCCGUCUCCACUCCAUCACCACCUGUGAACCCGCUCUGUCUUCGCGACUCCAUCACCAUCUGUGAAACCCGUUCCGUCUUCUCGACUCCAUCACCACCUGCGAAACCCGCUCCGCCUUCUCGACUUCAUCACCACCUGCGCAACCUCUGCUUCGUCUUUUCUCGACUCCAUCACCACCUGCGAAACCCGCUCCGUCUUCUCGACUCCAUCACCACCUGCGAAACCCUUCACACCGUCCAUCGUUAAUCAGCCAGCGACUUACCACCGUGGUCGUCGUGCUGUCAUCAGUUCUCGUGGUCGUCGCGCGAUUCACCUCUUCGUUGCACGAUUCAGCCUCGUCGUCGCGCAUUCACCUUCGUCGUCGCGCCCUCGUGUGAGUUGUCGUCGUCUUCGAGCUAUAGUGAUUGAAUAGCAGGAUGCUUGAUGAUAUUUUUGACUGAAGUCUUUUGAUUUUCACCUAAUACUCUUGUUUAGGAAGAGAUGGUGAAGGCUAAGUUUGAGGCAGCUGUCAUAGAAGCAGAGUUGAGCGCGCCAAUGGAAGUUAGAACUAAGUUAAAAAUGACUGGUCCAAAUUUUGAGGUGCGUGAAAUGAAGUCAAGCAAAGAACUGCGAAAGAAAGUAAAGAUAAAGCGUGAAAGGAUAAUAAGCAUUGGAGGGGUCACCAAUGGACCUAAGUUUUUGUUGUUUAUAUGUGGAUGUUGGUGAAGAUCAAGAGGAUGAAGAAUGAUAAAAAAAUUCCAAAUGGUAUAUGAAGAUGAAGAGGAAUGAAAGUGCAAGAUAAAUUGUACUUUUUCUUUUUUGGAGAACAUAAUACUUUUUAAUUAGUUGUAAACAUUGUUACUUAUAGAAUUGUAUACAAUAUUACAAUAUAAUUUUGCAAUAUAUGAAAAUUUUCAAUUUCA